rnacentral:rRNA from 1 species
UACGAAGGGGGCUAGCGUUGUUCGGAAUUACUGGGCGUAAAGCGCGCGCAGGCGGUCUUCCAAGUCAGUGGUGAAAGCCCGGAGCUCAACUCCGGAACUGCCAUUGAAACUGUGAGACUUGAGUAUGAGAGAGGUGAGUGGAAUUCCCAGUGUAGAGGUGAAAUUCGUAGAUAUUGGGAAGAACACCGGUGGCGAAGGCGGCUCUCUGGGACGGUACUGACGCUGAGACGCGAAAGCGUGGGGAGCGAACAGG